rnacentral:tRNA from 1 species
UCCCUGGUGGUCUAGUGGUUAGGAUUGGGCACUUCCACCACUCCAGCCCAGGUUCGAUCCCUGGUCUGGGAA